CGCGGCCUAUCAGCUUGUUGGUGAGGUAAUGGCUCACCAAGGCGACGACGGGUAGCCGGCCUGAGAGGGCGACCGGCCACACUGGGACUGAGACACGGCCCAGACCCCUACGGGAGGCAGCGGUGGGGAAUAUUGCACAAUGGGCGAAAGCCUGAUGCAGCGACGCCGCGUGAGGGAUGACGGCCUUCGGGUUGUAAACCCCUUUCAGCAGGGAAGAAGCGAAAGUGACGGUACCUGCAGAAGAAGCGCCGGCUAACUACGUGCCAGCAGCCGCGGUAAUACGUAGGGCGCAAGCGUUGUCCGGAAUUAUUGGGCGUAAAGAGCUCGUAGGCGGCUUGUCACGUCGAUUGUGAAAGCCCGAGGCUUAACCUCGGGUCUGCAGUCGAUACGGGCUAGCUAGAGUGUGGUAGGGGAGAUCGGAAUUCCUGGUGUAGCGGUGAAAUGCGCAGAUAUCAGGAGGAACACCGGUGGCGAAGGCGGAUCUCUGGGCCAUUACUGACGCUGAGGAGCGAAAGCGUGGGGAGCGAACAGGAUUAGAUACCCUGGUAGUCCACGCCGUAAACGGUGGGAACUAGGUGUUGGCGACAUUCCACGUCGUCGGUGCCGCAGCUAACGCAUUAAGUUCCCCGCCUGGGGAGUACGG
rnacentral:rRNA from 1 species